UUGAACAUGAAAUCCAGUUUCAGAAAUUUAUAUCAAUUGCAAAAAAUAAUUGACGAUUAUUGACAAUUGUUGAACACCGACGAAUCUUUGGAGACUGUAAUCCAGUUUGUAGAAAUUUUUAUCAAAUGGAGAAAAUAAUAGACUGUGUCAACUUAUGAACGCCUUCGGUGACUGUCAUUCAAUUUGUAGAAAUUUAUAUAAACUAGGAAAAAUAAUUGAUGAUUUUUGGU